rnacentral:rRNA from 1 species
UACGGAGGGGGCGAGCGUUGUUCGGAGUUACUGGGCGUAAAGCGCACGUAGGCGGUGCGGUAAGUCAGGGGUUAAAGGCUGCAGCUCAACUGCAGUAAGGCCUUUGAUACUAUCGUGCUAGAGUGUCAGAGAGGAUGGCGGAAUUCCCGGUGUAGCGGUGAAAUGCGUAGAUAUAGGGAGGAACACCGGUUGCGAAGGCGGCUACCUGGCCGGUAACUGACGCUGAGGUGCGAGAGCGUGGGGAGCAAACAGG